rnacentral:rRNA from 1 species
UACGGAGGGUGCGAGCGUUGUCCGGAAUCAUUGGGCGUAAAGCGCACGUAGGCGGAUUGUUAAGUCAGGGGUGAAAUCCUGGAGCUCAACUCCAGAACUGCCUUUGAUACUGGCGAUCUCGAGUCCGGGAGAGGUGAGUGGAACUGCGAGUGUAGAGGUGAAAUUCGUAGAUAUUCGCAAGAACACCAGUGGCGAAGGCGGCUCACUGGCCCGGUACUGACGCUGAGGUGCGAAAGCGUGGGGAGCAAACAGG